rnacentral:rRNA from 1 species
AGUGAACGCUGGCGGUAGGCCUAACACAUGCAAGUCGAACGGCAGCACAGUAAGAGCUUGCUCUUACGGGUGGCGAGUGGCGGACGGGUGAGGAAUACAUCGGAAUCUACUUUUUCGUGGGGGAUAACGUAGGGAAACUUACGCUACUACCGCAUACGACCUACGGGUGAAAGCAGGGGAUCUUCGGACCUUGCGCGAUUGAAUGAGCCGAUGUCGGAUUAGCUAGUUGGCGGGGUAAAGGCCCACCAAGGCGACGAUCCGUAGCUGGUCUGAGAGGAUGAUCAGCCACACUGGAACUGAGACACGGUCCAGACUCCUACGGGAGGCAGCAGUGGGGAAUAUUGGACAAUGGGCGCAAGCCUGAUCCAGCCAUACCGCGUGAGUGAAGAAGGCCUUCGGGUUGUAAAGCCCUUUUAUUGGGAAAGAAAAGCAGCAGGUUAAUACCCCGCUGUUCUGACGGUACCCAAAGAAUAAGCACCGGCUAACUUCGUG